CCCAGUCCUGGAACCAUAUUAUUUUACCUUCUGCCCAGCCCUAAAAUCAACCAGCCCUAAAUGAAACAAGUGUAGAUUUAGACUGGCUGGGGCUCCUUUACAAUUUAAAUAUAGUUGCUUGUUUCUAUCAAAACUAUAUUUUUUCAGAGACUCACAGUUUUCCAAGGGAAAAAUAGAGUGACAUACUGGAAUAAUGUGUAAUAAAUCAUUCUCAGAUUUGACAAAAUACUACUGCUCUCAGUCCCCUCUACAACACACCUGGAACCAACCAUACAGCUGACAAGUGAACCACAAGAACAUCAAUUCCCACGUUCCGUCUCCACUGACACUACAAACAUUCCUGCCUCCUGGAGCAGAGCAUCUUCCUGAUCUAACACCCUUCCAUCAGCUCCGGGAGUAAACAAGCAAAUGUCAGAAUGUCCCUGGCACAAUGUGCUUCACAGGAGAAUGCAUGUUCCAUCACGACGAGGCAGCUUGACGUGGAAGGAAAGCCAAAGUGAUGCAGGUCUCAGACAGGCAUGGUGCUGACAAACCAAGAAACAAAAGGCAAAUCUGGGAUUCAAACCAAUGAUUAAGUUUCUGACACACCUACAGGACAAGCAAAUUUUGUCAGCCCAGAUAACUGUGCCACCCCUGUACCGCCCACCUUAGAGAUACAACAGACCUACGAAGUUACAGACUAUUUACAGACAUCAGCAGCACUGAAGUGGUAUAUAUAUCUGCCUGCCUGGCAGUUGAUUCUACCACCUGCCUUUGGCAGUGUAGGUACAAAAAUGGACCUGGGCUUCCAAAGGACUGCUUACUGUCGGCAUGUAUGUACAAAACUUCAGCUGAAUACCCUAUACAUUUCAACUCAUCAUUAUGUAAGCCGAGUAGACAACACAGCAUUCAACGUUUAGAGAUUGCUAUUACCCGGACACUGUAUACUGAUUUUAACCUUUA